UGACAUAAACCAAUUAAGCGGAACUAUGCAUGGAAGACUAACGUAGGAUUUGACAACAAUGGCUUAACUUCACAUUUUCGUUUUAAGAUAAAUUCUAGUGGAGUGCAUUGGGUCUGAAAUAAAUGUGUUUAAUAUUUUGCAUUAAAUAUGAAAUACAAACGUGGUCGGAUAUGUGUGAAAGGACCGCGUAUUAUUCCUAAUUCGAGUUUGCUAAGGAUAAAAUCAGUGGGUGGGGUAAAGGUGUGAAAAACAAUCGAAUUUGAGUGAUUGUGUAAACCGUUUAUUUUGAUUACCUUUAAUUUGUGUAUACAGUUAGGAUAUUCAAAUCGGAUUAAUCUUUGACGGGUGUUAGACAUGGAUGCAGGGAUUGAUAAGGAUAUUGGUGUUUAUGGUGGAUUGUUCCUUACAAUAGUUUCAGACCUAAGGGGCAGUUCACCAGUUUGGGAGGAUUUUACCAGCAAAGCAACAAAACUUCACACCUCCCUCAAGUCGACACUAACUGCUAUAUCAGCUUUCCUCGAUGCCUUCCAAAAGGUUGCUGAUAUGGCCACUAACUCCAGAGGUAUGUUCACAUGACCCUCUAUUACAUGUAUAUCAAUUUAUUAUAGCCCUCUUUGGCCCUUCAU